rnacentral:rRNA from 1 species
CUCCUACGGGACGCAGCAGUAGGGAAUUUUCGGCAAUGGGGGAAACCCUGAUGGUGCGACGCCGCGUGGGGGAAUGAAGGUCUUCGGAUUGUAAACCCCUGUCAUGUGGGAGCAAAUUAAAAAGAUAGUACCACAAGAGGAAGAGACGGCUAACUCUGUGCCAGCAGCCGCGGUAAUACAGAGGUCUCAAGCGUUGUUCGGAAUCACUGGGCGUAAAGCGUGCGUAGGCUGUUUCGUAAGUCGUGUGUGAAAGGCGCGGGCUCAACCCGCGGCCGGCACAUGAUACUGCGAGACUAGAGCAAUGG